rnacentral:rRNA from 1 species
CGUACGCUGGCGGCACGCCUAACACAUGCAAGUCGAACGAAGUAGCAAUACUUAGUGGCAGACGGGUGAGUAACAUGUAGGUAUCUGCCCUUUGGCCUGGAAUAACACGAGGAAACUUGUGCUAAUACCGGAUAAGUCUUUACGGAGAAAGCUUUAUGCACCAUUGGAUGAGCCUGCACUUGAUUAGUUUGUUGGUGGGGUAAUGGCCUACCAAGACUGUGAUCAAUAGCUGAUUUGAGAGGAUGAUCAGCCACAUUGGGACUGAGACACGGCCCAAACUCCUACGGGAGGCAGCAGUGGGGAAUCUUGCACAAUGGAGGAAACUCUGAUGCAGCGAUGCCGCGUGAGUGAAGAAGGCCCUUGGGUUGUAAAGCUCUUUCGUCGGGGAAGAAAAUGACUGUACCCGAAUAAGAAGGUCCGGCUAACUUCGUGCCAGCAGCCGCGGUAAUACGAAGGGACCUAGCGUAGUUCGGAAUUACUGGGCUUAAAGAGUUCGUAGGUGGUUGAAAAAGUUAGUGGUGAAAUCCCAGAGCUUAACUCUGGAACUGCCAUUAAAACUUUUCAGCUAGAGUAUGAUAGAGGAAAGCAGAAUUUCUAGUGUAGAGGUGAAAUUCGUAGAUAUUAGAAAGAAUACCAAUUGCGAAGGCAGCUUUCUGGAUCAUUACUGACACUGAGGAACGAAAGCAUGGGUAGCGAAGAGGAUUAGAUACCCUCGUAGUCCAUGCCGUAAACGAUGUGUGUUAGACGUUGGAAAUUUAUUUUCAGUGUCGCAGGGAAACCGAUAAACACACCGCCUGGGGAGUACGACCGCAAGGUUAAAACUCAAAUGAAUUGACGGGGACCCGCACAAGUAGUGGAGCAUGUGGUUUAAUUCGAAGAUACGCGCAGAACCUUACCAACACUUGACAUGUUCGUCGCGACUCUAAGAGAUUAGAGUUUUCGGUUCGGCCGGACGAAACACAGGUGCUGCAUGGCUGUCGUCAGCUCGUGUCGUGAGAUGUUGGGUUAAGUCCCGCAACGAGCGCAACCCUCACUUUUAGUUGCCAUCAUUAAGUUGGGCACUCUGAAAGAACUGCCAGUGAUAAGCUGGAGGAAGGUGGGGAUGACGUCAAGUCCUCAUGGCCCUUACGUGUUGGGCUACACACGUGCUACAAUGGUAUCUACAACAGGAAGCAAGACUGCGAAGUUAAGCAAAUCCCUAAAAGAUACCUCAGUUCGGAUUGCACUCUGCAACUCGAGUGCAUGAAGCUGGAAUUACUAGUAAUCGUGGAUCAGCGUGCCACGGUGAAUGCGUUCCCGGGUCUUGUACACACCGCCCGUCACACCAUGGGAGUUGGUUCUACCUUAAGGCAAGGUUUCAAACCCUUGACCACGGUAUAGUCAGCGACUGGGGUGAAGUCGUAACAAGGUAGCCGUA